CAUCGUUUCACCGGGCGUCGGCAAUUUCAGGGCUGUAAACCCAAAUACCGAACACGAAAAUCACUCAAACAAUAUCUAUUCACUGCCAUCUUCCCUCCGCUGCGGAGUUUUGUACACUUCAUACUUCAGAUAAGUGUCAAAUAUGAAUAUUUCGUACUAGAUUAUAAACUAGUCUAGGCCGCUCAUUGCUCAAAAGUUGUUGCCGCCAUUUUACCAUCUACGAGUUUCUACUACAUACUCUACUCGCUUCUAAAUUUAUUGGCGUUUUAUUUUAUUUCCCCGCGUUCCUUUUAGAUAAAAUGUCAAGUUGAUGCGGAUGUUUGAAGGGUGAUGUGUUUUCUGGUGAACAAUUCUAAAUUUGUGAUUGUUGGAAAGUCGUAAGGAGUGAGAUAUUGUGGAAAGUUUAGUGAAUAUUCAGUGAGAGUGGAAAAACUGUGCGAAAUAGCUUUCCUAAGGCCGAGACAGUGAUAUGUUUUCCUUUUGAAUUUUGGGGUUUUUGAUACUUUGUACAAUGGACGAUCAGCGAGCUUGCUAUCUACGCACCAACAUCUCGUGGACGUAUUCAACUAAUUUAUGGUGGACAACCGUUUAUAUUUGAAAAAUAUUUAAAACUGACAAGUGGCGAUGAGAAGAAAUACUGGAGAUGUAAUCAAUGG
rnacentral:misc_RNA from 1 species